rnacentral:rRNA from 1 species
AAUAUAUAGAUAACGUGCCUCUUAGUCUGGGAUAGCCAUUGGAAACGAUGAUUAAUACUAGAUACUCCUUCUCAUUAUAAUGUGAGUUGGGAAAGUUUUUCGCUAAGAGAUCGGUCUAUAUCCCAUCAGCUUGUUGGUAGUGUAAGAGACUACCAAGGCAAUGACGGGUAGCGGGUUUGAGAGGAUGAUCCGCCACACUGGUACUGAGACACGGACCAG